GCUUACGGCCAUACCACCCUGAGAACGCCCGACCUCGUCUGAUCUCGGAAGCUAAGCAGGGUCGGGCCAGGUUAGUACGUGGAUGGGAGACCGCCUGGGAAUACCAGGUGCUGUAAGCU
ensembl:rRNA 5S_rRNA 5S ribosomal RNA